CGCAACGCUGGCGGCGUGCCUAACACAUGCAAGUCGAACGAGAGUGAGCAUCCAUGAGUAAAGUGGCGACCGGGUUGAGUAACAGCGUGGACUACCUAGCCAGUCGAUGGGGGAUAACCUGCGGGAAACUGCAGGGCUAAUACCGCAUAGCCUUGGGAUGAGAGCCGAAAUCAAGAUCUAUUCGCCUUGAGAGGGGGCUCCGCGUUCCGAUUAGGCUAGUGGUGGGGUAACUGGCCUACCUAAGGCUGACGAUCGAUAGCUGGUCUGAGAGGAUGAUCAGCCACACUGGGACUGAGGACUACGGCCCAGACUCCUACGGGAGGCAGCAGUGGGGAAUAUUUGGACAAUGGGGGCAACCCUGAUCCAGCACAUGCCGCGUGAGUGAUGAAGGCCUUCGGGUUGUAAGCUCUUCUGUGGACCACGGGCGUGCUAUACCCGCCAUGACGGUACCUCGGAGAAUAAGCCCGGCUAACUACGUGCCAGCAGCCGCGGUAAUACGUAAGGGAGGCAUAGCGUUAGUUCGGAAUUACUGGGGCGUAAAGCGUGCGCUAGGCGGUUUACAAGCUCGAGGCGUGAAAUGCCCCGGGCUCUAACCUGGGAUGGGCAUUGAGUGAUACUGUGGAGCUCGAAGUGCGGGCAGAGGGAUGGUGGAAUUCCCAGUGUAGCAGGUGAAAUUCGUAGAUAUGUGGAGGAACACCGAUGGCGAAGGCAGCCUCCUGGGCCGACACUGACGCUCAUGCACGAAAGCGUGGGGAGCAAACAGGAUUAGACACCCUGGUAGUCCACGCCCUAAACGAUUGUCAACUGGUUGUUGGGAGGAGGGAAACUUCCUUAGUAACGAAGCUAACGCGUGAAGUUGACCGGCCUGGGGAGUACGGCCGCAAGGUUAAAACUCAAAGGAAUUGAACGGGGACCCGCACAAGCGGUGGAUGAUGUUGAUUAAUUCGAUGCAACGCGAAGAACCUUACCCUACCCUUGACAUGCCAGGGAGCCGGAUGAGAGUUUCGGUGUGCCCGAAAGGGAGCCUGGACACAGGUGCUGCAUGGCUGUCGUCAGCUCGUGUCGUGAGAUGUUGGGUUAAGUCCCGCAACGAGCGCAACCCUUGGUCACUAGUUGCUACGGAUAGGGCACUCUAGUGAGACUGGCCGGUGACAAACCGGAGGAAGGUGGGGAUGCACGUCAAGUCCUCAUGGCCCUUAUGGGUAGGGCCUCACACGUCAUACAAUGGCGCAUACAGAGGGUAGCCAACCCGCGAGGGGGAGCCAAUCUCAGAAAGUGCGUCGUAGUCCGGAUUGUUCUCUGCAGCUCGAGAGCAUGAAGUCGGAAUCGCUAGUAAUCGCGGAUCAGCAUGCCGCGGUGAAUACGUUCCCGGGUCUGUACACACCGCCCGUCACCACCAUGGGAGUGGGUUUCACCAGAAGCAGCUAGCCUAACCGCAAGGGGGGCGGCUACCACGGUGAGAUUCAUGACUGGGGUU
rnacentral:rRNA from 1 species